GAUGAACGCUGGCGGCGUGCCUAAUACAUGCAAGUCGAGCGAACAGACGAGGAGCUUGCUCCUCUGACGUUAGCGGCGGACGGGUGAGUAACACGUGGAUAACCUACCUAUAAGACUGGGAUAACUUCGGGAAACCGGAGCUAAUACCGGAUAAUAUAUUGAACCGCAUGGUUCAAUAGUGAAAGACGGUUUUGCUGUCACUUAUAGAUGGAUCCGCGCCGCAUUAGCUAGUUGGUAAGGUAACGGCUUACCAAGGCGACGAUGCGUAGCCGACCUGAGAGGGGGAUCGGCCACACGGGAACUGAGACACGGUCCGAAUCCCAACGGGAGGCAGAAGUAGGGAACCUGCCGAAAUGGGCGAAAGCCUGACGGAGCAACGCGGCGUGAGGGAUGAAGGUCUUCGGAUCGUAAAACUCUGUAUUAGGGAAGAACAAAUGUGUAAGUAACUAUGCACGUCUUGACGGUACCUAAUCAGAAAGCCACGGCUAACUACGUG
rnacentral:rRNA from 1 species